UACGUAGGGUGCGAGCGUUAAUCGGAAUUACUAGGCGUAAAGGGCAGGUAGGUGGUUUGGUUAGUCUGUUGUGAAAGCUCCCGGCUUAACUGGGAGAGGUCAACGGAUACUGCCAGACUUGAGUAUAGGAGAGGUUACUGGAAUUCCCGGUGUAGCGGUGAAAUGCGCAGAGAUCGGGAGGAACACCAAUGGCGAAAGCAGGUAACUGGACUAUUACUGACACUCAGCUGCGAAAGCUAGGGGAGCAAACAGG
rnacentral:rRNA from 1 species